rnacentral:rRNA from 1 species
UACGUAGGGUGCGAGCGUUGUCCGGAAUUACUGGGCGUAAAGAGCUCGUAGGUGGUUUGUCGCGUUGUUCGUGAAAACUCACAGCUUAACUGUGGGCGUGCGGGCGAUACGGGCAGACUGGAGUACUGCAGGGGAGACUGGAAUUCCUGGUGUAGCGGUGGAAUGCGCAGAUAUCAGGAGGAACACCGGUGGCGAAGGCGGUUCUCUGGGCAUUACCUGACGCUGAGGAGCGAAAGUGUGGGGAGCGAACAGG